rnacentral:lncRNA from 1 species
CCAGACAUGAAAACAUACCUUUUCUUCCUUCAUAUUUUUCUGCUAAUAACAACUUCUUUAUUGUCCCCUCCAAAAGCAUCAGCCUCAGCUACAACUGAAGCAACUGCUCUGGUGAAAUGGAAGAACACUCUAUCACCAUCUCCUGUUUUAAACUCAUGGUCACUCAACAACCUCAGAAACCUCUGCCGCUCAUGGACCGGCAUUCAAUGCAACUCCGGCGGCUCCGUUUCUCAAAUCAACCUCCCCAAUUCGAAUCUCACCGGAGCUAUCAGCCACCUCGAUUUCUCCUCGCUCGCAAAUCUCACAACUCUCAAUCUCAAUGGCAAUAGCUUCAACGGGACAAUCCCAACCAGUAUCGGAAAUCUGACGAAGCUUGUUUUUUUCGACCUGAGCGAGAAUUUGUUGGAUGGCUCAAUCCCAUUGGAAAUCGGCAAUCUGAGAGAGAUACAGUACAUUAGUAUUUUCAACAACAGUCUCAACGGAGAAAUCCCUUAUCAAAUAGGCAAUCUCCAAAAGGUGCGGUAUCUGAAUUUGGGUUCUAAUUACUUGGAAACUCCUGAUUGGUCUAGAUUUCCGAAUUUCCCAUUUCUGACACACCUCAUGUUUAAUGACAACAAUAUCACUUUGGAAUUUCCGGAUUUCAUAACCACUUGUCUGAAUCUUACCCUUCUUGAUUUGUCACAAAACAACCUCAUUGGACAAAUUCCCGAGUCUUUGUUUAAUCUGGUGAAACUCAAAUACCUUAACCUCGCUUUUAAUUCGCUGCAAGGGAACUUUUCGACCAACCUCACAAAGCUACCGAAAUUGAAAGAUCUUCGUUUGGAGAGCAACUUAUUCUCCGGCCACAUUCUUGAUUCCAUCACCUUUUUACCGAACCUCGAAAUUCUUCACCUGUUCAACAAUUUGUUUCAGGGAGAAAUUCCGCCGGAAAUAGGUCAACUCAGGCGACUCCAGGAGCUAGAUCUCCAGCAAAACGGCUUCAACUCCACAAUUCCGGCCGAGCUCGGCCUAUGCACUAACCUCACCUUCUUAGCAUUAGCCGUCAAUUCAUUCACCGGACCUUUGCCUUUAUCCUUUUCGAAUUUGACAGAGUUAACCGAUUUGGGAAUCUCCGACAAUAGUCUCUCCGGCGAUAUCUCGCCUUUCAUCAGAAGCUGGACCAAACUAACGUCACUGCAGGUUCAAAGCAAUCAUUUCACUGGAGAAGUCCCGCCGGAGAUAGGCCUACUCACAAAUCUGAAUUAUCUGUAUCUGUACAACAAUUCAUUUUCAGGCCAAAUCCCACCGGAAGUAGGUAACCUGCAACACUUGUUGAAGCUAGACCUUUCGACCAACCAGUUUUCAGGCGAAAUACCUUCAACACUCGGCAACCUCACGAAACUUUUGCUCUUAAACCUUUUCUCAAACAAUCUUACCGGAACUAUUCCAUCUGCGAUUGGAGAUUUGAAUUUAUUAGAGACUCUUGAUCUCAAUACAAACCAAUUGAGAGGUCAGAUACCAGAAUCCUUCUCCAACCUCACUAGCCUAUCGACUUUGUCCGUAUUUAUUAAUAACCUAUCAGGCAUUCUCCCACAGGAUUUUGGGCAAAACAGUCCCCAGUUAGCCAGUGUUAGCUUUUCCAUCAACAACUUCUCUGGUCAGAUUCCUCCUGGAAUAUGCAGUGGCUUUGCUUUCGAUCACUUUACGGUGAACAACAACAGGUUUUCAGGGCUUUUGCCUCAAUGCUUAAAGAACUGCUCGGGCUUAAGAAGGGUACGUCUCGAAAACAACCGAUUUUCGGGAAAUAUUUCGGAUGUGUUUGGAGUUCAUCCACAGCUCGACUUCGUUUCUCUGAGCAGUAAUCAAUUCACCGGCCAACUUGAUGCCGAGUGGGGACAAUGCGAACAGCUCACAAAUAUUCAGAUGGAUAAUAAUAAAAUAUCCGGACCUAUCCCAGUUGAGCUCGGAAAUCUGACACAGCUUGGUGUUCUUGUCUUGGAUUCGAACAAGUUAACGGGCGAAGUUCCUGUCGAAUUUGGAAAGCUAGAGCAACUGUUUAAUCUCAGCCUGAGCAACAAUCAGUUGAGUGGCGAAAUUCCGACAGCUGUAGGCCGACUGACGAAGCUACAGCAUCUUGAUUUGUCGGGGAAUAAAUUCGGAGGAAAUAUUCCGGAAGAACUUGGAAAUUGCGAAGGCUUGCUGAACUUGAAGCUCAGCAAUAACUUAUUGUCAGGGGAGAUCCCUUCUGAACUCGGAGAUUUGACGAGGCUACAAAUCGUGUUGGACCUCAGUAACAAUUCACUUUCGGGGAAUAUUCCGUCAUCAUUCGGAAGUCUGACCACCUUGGAGAUUUUCAAUGUUUCGCACAACAAUCUUUCGGGCAGAAUUCCUACAGCGUUGCUUGGAAUGAUAAGUUUGAGCGACUUCGACUUCUCUUACAAUAAUCUGUCUGGUCCGAUCCCGACUGGCGAUAUAUUCAGAAAAGCACCUGCAAAAGCCUACAUCGAAAACUCCGGUUUAUGUGGAACUGCAGAAGCAUUACCUCCUUGUGAUGUCAUAUCUUUAACUUCAAAGUCAAAUAAUGAUCGGACAAAGAUUCUUGUCGGUGUCAUUGUGCCAGCUGUCAGCCUCGUAAUUUUGGCAACCAUUAUAGUUGGAUGUUGCAUUCUCCGAGGAAAAUCAGAGCAACUCGAUGAAGAAACCAAAAGCAUGACCAAGUUCGAGAAUUCGGAAUCGCUCAUUUGGGAAAGAGAAGGGAAACUCACAUUUGGAGAUAUUGUCCGAGCAACGAAAAAUUUCGACGAGAAAUACUGCAUCGGAAGAGGAGGAUUUGGAAGCGUUUAUCGAGCUGACUUGGCGAGCGGACAGAGUGUAGCGGUGAAAAGGCUCCACGUAUCGGAAUCGAGCGACGUGCCACUGGCGAAUAUUCGUAGUUUCGAGAAUGAAAUCCGGACACUGAAGGAAGUGAGGCACAGGAACAUAAUCAAGCUUUAUGGAUAUUGCUCGAGUAAAGGAUCGAUGUACUUGGUCUACGAGUACGUAGAGAGAGGCAGCUUGAGAUCAGUUCUGUACGACGAAAACGGAGCCCUCCAACUAAACUGGCCCACGAGGGUUAGAAUCGUUCAAGGAGUGGCGCACGCACUAGCUUACCUUCACCAUGAUUGCACACCACCUAUCGUCCACCGUGAUGUUACGAUAAACAACAUUUUACUCGAGUCGGAAUUCGAACCGAGGCUAUCGGAUUUCGGCACGGCGAAAUUGCUGACUUCUGAUUGGUCGAAUUGGACAACAAUGGCAGGCUCGUACGGCUACAUGGCUCCAGGUAAAUUCUCGUAACUUCGCUUUCACUACUAAAUCUGCAUCACGAAGUUAGAAUUUUUUUUCUGACAAUUUACCUUUUUUUUUUUUCUGUGCGCUCAGAGCUUGCGCUGACUAUGAAGGUGACGGAAAAAUCUGACGUGUACAGCUUUGGAGUUGUGGCCUUGGAAACUAUGAUGGGGAGGCACCCGGGGGAUCUCAUAUCUACACUAUCGGCAAACUCGGCAUUGCAUAGUGAACCGGAUGUGUUUCUGAAGGAUCUGCUCGAUCAACGGCUCUCAUCUCCCGCGGGCAAAACAGCAGAGGAAAUUGUGUAUGUAGUCACCAUGGCGUUAUCGUGCGUACGGACCAUCCCAGAGUUACGGCCUAAUAUGCGUUUCGUUGCACAAGAAUUGUCGGCUCGUGAUCGGCCUUACCUGCUGCAGCCACUGCAGACAGUAAAACUAAACGAAGCAACAAGUUUCUCAAAUUAGGAGGAGUUCGUGAUUUGCCGCGAUAAGUAUACAUAGUCACAUAAUCAAUGCUUGGACUCUGCAUAUACAUAAAUCCAGGGGAAUUAUGUCUUUAUUGGAAACUAAUGUACACAAUAUUUAUCUGUACGGAAACUAAUGUAGAGGAGGAUUUGACAGUAUUUUUUUUUUCUAUUCUAAAAAAAAAUAAUUCUUCCAUUGGCAAUGAUGCCCAGCAUUCAAUUAGCACAUAAACAUAAUCAGCAUGCAUAUACAAUUCACAGAAAUACUAAAUAAUUGAGAAAUCAAUCAGAAAUGAAGCCAUGAAAAUUGAAACCCUUACCUGGAAUAAAAAAAAAAAAGAAUCAGCGGAUCGGAGAAGAACUCCAUGUGCAACUACAGAGCAGAGGAAAAGCAAUGAUAUAUGAACUAGCUAUACGAGCAUACGGAAUAUCGGUGUUGGGCGCCGAUCACUUGUCGGAUAGAACGAUAACAUAAGGGUUUAUGGAACGGGAUUCCGGCACCGGCGAGUGGUGAAUAGAAUUGGACGGUGGCGAGUGCGCAUUUUCAUUUGGGUUUGGCUUCUUCGAAUAUUUUAUGCCCCCGUUUGUUCAUCACGCGCGUUUUUGGAGCGUAUACGAUUCAUCCCCAUUUUUUCUGCUUUUGUUUGUUUUCUUACUAUAGAGUAUAGAGGUUGAGAAUUUUAUUUUAUUUUAUUUUUAUUUUUUGAAUUUUGGAUUGAGGAACUUUUGAACUCAGAGGAUAAAAAAAAAAAGUUAAAAUAUUAUUUUGUCAAAAAAUUUUAAAUUAGUGAAAAAAUUAAUAUUUAUUAGUUUUAUACAUUAUUUAAUUAAUAACUUAUCAUUACUUUGUGAAAUUAGUUUUAUUAUUAUUAUUUAUUAUUAUUAUUGUUGUUGUUGUUGUUGUUGUUGUUGUUGUUGUUGUUGUUGUUGUUGUUUUCAAUAAACUCAAUCAAGCUCAUAAAGAUGAUGAAGUUGAAGAUGAUAGUUCACAACAAAACCCGUUCCUCGGUCGAGAACUCUUCAAAUAAAAAAUAUAUUUAAUAUUUCUGUAAGUGAGUUACGACGAAAUAAAAUCGAAGUUCUUACAAUGUUAAGAUGAGGAAUGAGAUUCAAGUAAUGUCAACUUCAACGAGAAGCAAAAGAAAAUUAAAACAUAUUUGCUAUAUGUUUAUAGAUUUAUGAAAUUGUACUAUGUAUUAUUUGAAGAUUUAUUUAUAUGCAUUAUUAAUUUAUAUAUUAGAUGCAUGAUAUUUAUUAGAAUUUUCAAAUAUGUAUUAUUUUAUAAAAAAAAAAAAGAGAAGUAUUAAUUUAGUAUGUUGUCCCCGAGCCAAAACUGAUUUUUUAUUUAUUUAUUAUUUAAAUGAUGUUAUUAAGUUAUCGAGUAUUAAUUUAUCGAUGUUCUACUGCAAUUUUAAAGAUGCCAUAGGAGUGGGGUGGGUGAGUUUGACCCUUUAAAAAAUUUAUGCUUACAGAUGUGAUGAUGAUAGUACUACUUGCUUCAAGUUUCUCCUUUUAUUUUUUAAUAGGGAAAAUUAGUUAAAAUCAUUAGGUAUUUGCAAUUAUUAAUAAGAGGGACACGCUUUCAAUUUUGAUUAUGUUUUUCUGCACAAAUUAUUUAUUAGAAGUCUUUUGACUACUUUUCUAUAAAUAUAUUUGUGACUACUUUACCAUUGAUAUCAUCGUUAUAACGAGAUAAGGUCAAGUUUUCUCGUGAAAUGGAUUUUUUUGUAGAUGCUACGUUCAGUUAAAUACAUUGCGUGAUCUUACACUAUUGAUUUAUACAUAAUAAAUAAUGACAAACACUCAUAUAUAUAAUAUAUGUGUGCUAAGUGAAUAGUUAUUUAUAUAGAUUAAUAGUGCAAAAUCGCCCGAUGUUUUUCACCAGAUAUAGCAUCUCAUAGACGAGUUUAACGAGAAUUGCAAAAAAAAAUUGAUAAUACAUGUCAAAAAAAAUUUCAAUCAAUGUCGUUCUCAAAAAAUGCCUCUCCGAAAAGCAUUUCCUAUUUCUUAUAAUUUUUAACCGUAAUGAAUUUUAAUAGGAAAAUCGACUUUUAGUUCAACGAAUUAAGAUGGUGUUUGCAAGAGUUUAUUUAAAAACUUAAGUUAGUGAUUGUGAAUUAAGUUGAUAUUAAAUGCUUAUUUUUAAAAGUAGGGAAUAUUUGGAAAAUUUCUCAAAAUCAACUUAAAUAGAAAAAGACAAGUCCAAAGACGCUUUUAAAAUUAUAUUUGAAAUCAACUUAUUUUAAGAGACGUCAAAAUAGAAGAUCAUUUUUGCAAACAUCUAAAAACAAAUAACGGUUGAAAAAAGCUCAAAAUUUGUUUCUAAAAACUCUUGCAAACACGAGCACUUGAGUCACCAUGAUUUACUCCUCCAUCAAUUUUUUUUUUCUUUUAGUUUAUUUUAAUUUUAAAUAUGAUUGUGUUUUAAAUGAGUGGCUCCUUGGCUCCUUAUAAUAAGUUUAAAAGAAGGCCACUUUCUUUGAACCCAACAACCUAUCCAAUGUUUUAUAUGAGAGUUAAAAAGUCAACUUUUCACACACAAGUCAACAACAAUUUGCUCAAAGAUGACAGUCUGGACAGAUGAAAUGCCAGCCCUCAUAUUUGAAGUUCUUAUUUUUCUUGGUCAACGCUUUAUUAAAAUAGGAAACUCACUAUGGCCCCAAAUUUCCCAUAAGAUUCAAUUUAAAGCAAUAGUAGCUGACUUAUAUUACUUAAUUAGUUCCCAUUGCUAGUAUUGGAUUCUUUUAGAUAUUUUCUAACAACCACCCAUACAAAAAUACUUCAUUUGUCUCGUAUUAUAUGUCUUUUUUAGGGUGUUUGUUUCUUUUUUACAAAAUUAUUUGUCAAGUUAGAGUUCCAAUAAAGUACUAAUUGCAUUUUUAUCAAUUUUGCUCAUUUAUCACUUUUAAUUAGUUAACUAAAAUAAAUUAAAGACAAGGAUAUUUUAGCAUUUACUAUGUUAUUUUUUGUUAUAAUUUAUGCGUAUUUAUUACUCCAUCCAUUCAACAAUAUCUGUCAUUUUAAAAAAAAAAUUAUUACAUAUUAUCUAUCACUUUAGAAUUUCAAUAGUACAUUAAUUGCAUAUUUUUCAAUUACAUCCUCAUUAACUCUUCAACACUUUCUCUGCAUUAAUUAAUAAAUAAUACUUAGUAUUUUAAUCUAACAAUAUCUAUUUUCCUAAAAUUAUUACAUUUUUUAAGAUUUGUGCAAAUGUGAGAAACGACUAUUAUUUAGAAACCGAAGAAGCCAAUCAACCUUUUCAUUGUCUAUUUUUCAAAUUGUCAAUUGACUCAAAUAAGAACAAACAGAAAAAAAGUCAACCCUUUUAAUGUACUUCACACUAGCAAGUGGUAACAACCAUAAACAUAUAUUAAUACCACAAACCCCAAAUCAAGAGAGUAGAAAUAAAUAAACAAAAAAGCAAACCCAGUUGUUUUCAAUUCAAAUGUUUGCAAUAACAAUCAAAGCAAAUGUAGCAGCAUAUUAAUUCACCAAAAAAAACACACACACAGACAAUGAAAACAUACCUUUUCUUCCUUCAUAUUUUUCUGCUAACAACAACAACUUCUCUAUUGCCCCUUCCAAAAGCAGCAGCCUCACCUACAACUGAAGCAACUGCUCUGGUGAAAUGGAAGAACACCCUACCAUCACCAUCUCCUGUACUAAACUCAUGGUCACUCACCAACCUCCGAAACCUCUGCCGCUCAUGGACCGGCAUCCGAUGCAACUCCGGCGGCUCCGUUUCUCAAAUCGACCUCUCCGAUUCGAAUCUCGCCGGAACCAUCA